CAAUAGCGUAUAUUAAAGUUGUUGCAGUUAAAAAGCUCGUAGUUGGAUUUGUGGCGUACGGUGUGUUCCGGGCACUUGUUGUCUGAGUAACCUGCUGUUGCCAUCCUUGGGUGGAACCUGUGAGGCAUUAGGUUGUCGUGCAGGGGAUGCCCAUCAUUUACUGUGAAAAAAUUAGAGUGUUCAAAGCAGGCUUAUGCCGUUGAAUAUAUUAGCAUGGAAUAAUGAGAUAGGACUUUUUUGCUAUUUUGUUGGUUUGCGCAAAGAGGUAAUGAUUAAUAGGGACAGUUGGGGGUAUUCGUAUUCCAUUGUCAGAGGUGAAAUUCUUGGAUUUUUGGAAGACGAACUACUGCGAAAGCAUUUACCAAGGAUGUUUUCAUUAA
rnacentral:rRNA from 1 species